rnacentral:rRNA from 1 species
CUGGCUCAGAUUGAACGCUGGCGGCAGGCUUAACACAUGCAAGUCGAGCGGGGAUAGGGUGCUUGCACCUGAUUCCUAGCGGCGGACGGGUGAGUAAUGCUUAGGAAUCUGCCUAUUAGUGGGGGACAACGUUCCGAAAGGGACGCUAAUACCGCAUACGUCCUACGGGAGAAAGCAGGGGAUCUUCGGACCUUGCGCUAAUAGAUGAGCCUAAGUCGGAUUAGCUAGUUGGUGGGGUAAAGGCCUACCAAGGCGACGAUCUGUAGCGGGUCUGAGAGGAUGAUCCGCCACACUGGGACUGAGACACGGCCCAGACUCCUACGGGAGGCAGCAGUGGGGAAUAUUGGACAAUGGGGGGAACCCUGAUCCAGCCAUGCCGCGUGUGUGAAGAAGGCCUUUUGGUUGUAAAGCACUUUAAGCGAGGAGGAGGCUUACCUGGUUAAUACCUGGGAUAAGUGGACGUUACUCGCAGAAUAAGCACCGGCUAACUCUGUGCCAGCCGCCGC